GACGAACGCUGGCGGCGUGCUUAACACAUGCAAGUCGAGCGGAAAGGCCCUUCGGGGUACUCGAGCGGCGAACGGGUGAGUAACACGUGAGAAACCUGCCCUGGACUUUGGGAUAACCCUCGGAAACGGGGGCGUAAUACCGGAUAUGACAUUCGACCGCAUGGUUGUUUGUGGAAAGUUUUCGGUUCGUGGGAUGGUCUCGCGGCCUAUCAGCUUGUUGGUGGGGUAAGUGGCCUACCAAGGCGACGACGGGUAGCCGGCCUGAGAGGGC
rnacentral:rRNA from 1 species